rnacentral:rRNA from 1 species
CAGCCGCCGCGGUAAUACGAAGGGUGCAAGCGUUAAUCGGAAUUACUGGGCGUAAAGCGUGCGUAGGCGGUUUGUUAAGUCUGCUAUGAAAUCCCCGGGCUCAACCUGGGAAUGGCAGUGGAUACUGGCAAGCUAGAGUGUGUCAGAGGAUGGUGGAAUUCCCGGUGUAGCGGUGAAAUGCGUAGAGAUCGGGAGGAACAUCAGUGGCGAAGGCGGCCAUCUGGGACAACACUGACGCUGAGGCACGAAAGCGUGGGGAGCAAACAGGAUUAGAUACCCCCGUAGUCCCUGUCUCUUAUAC